AAUAUGGGACAAGGGGGGCAACCCUGAUCCAGCAAUGCCGCGUGUGUGAAGAAGGACUUCGGAUUGUAAAGCACUUUAUGUUGGGAGAAGGGGCUUUAGGUUAAUACCCUGAAAUUUUGACGUUACCAACAGAAUAAGCACCCGCUAACUCAGUGCCAGCAGCCGCGGUAAUACAGAGGGUGCAAGCGUUAAACGGAAUUACUGGGCGUAAAGCGCGCGUAGGUGGUUCAGUAAGAUGGGUGUGAAAUCCCCGGGCUUAACCUGGGAACUGCUUUCAUAACUGCUGAGCUAGAGUACGGUAGAGGGUAGUGGAAUUUCCUGUGUAGCGGUGAAAUGCGUAGAUAUAGGAAGGAACACCAGUGGCGAAGGCGACUACCUGGACUGAUACUGACACUGAGGUGCGAAAGCGUGGGGAGCAAACA
rnacentral:rRNA from 1 species